ACAUUUUCUUGUAUAACAAACCCUAUUUUGUGUAACGAUUUGAGAUCAAUUACGAAAUGUGAGGUAGCUCAGUGGAUCAGGUGGCAUCCGAGAGGACAUGUAGUGUUGGCAGGUUCAGAGGAUUCUUCCAUUUGGAUGUGGAACGCUGAUAACUGUGCUUUCAUGAACACGUUUUUAGGUCAUAGUGGUAGUGUAACCUGUGGUGGUUUCACUCAUGAUGGUACUUCUCUGUUUCUCUGGUAAUAUUUCCAGUGUUUACCUCCUUUUGAGUAGAACUUAUGUCUCUUAUAUAUGCUUGCCGGGAAUAUAAGAGUGUGGAACAUAACUUCAGGUGGUCUGAAUGGCACACUUGAAGGUCCUGGAGGCGGAAUAGAGGUGAAGCAUUUUCUUGUGUGUUACAAAUCCUAUUUUUGUGUAACAAUUUGAGAUCAAUUAUGAAAUAUGAGGUUGCUCAGUGGAUCAGGUGGCAUCCGAGAGGACAUGUGGUGUUGGCAGGUUCAGAGGAUUCUUCCAUUUGGAUGUGGAAUGCUGAUAACUGUGCUUUCAUGAACACGUUUUUAGGUCAUAGUGGUAGUGUAACCUGUGGUGGUUUCACUCCUGAUGGUACUUCUCUGUUUCUCUGGUAAUAUUUCCAGUGUUU
rnacentral:lncRNA from 1 species